CCGCAUGACGGGCGGGUGCAGGCCGGGCAGCGCGGCUGUGCUCGGCCCCCUCCCAGCCCUGGGCUGAAACCCCCCGCCCCGCCGGGAGCGGAGCGCCGAGCCCCGCCGAGACGGCAGUGCCGGCAGGCAGCGGGAUGCCGGAGCGAGGCGGGCCCCGGCUCUAGGCGAGGCUCGCACAUGGAACCGCGUCCCGCACGGCCCGUCCUUGUGCACGGCGGCACGUUCGCUGCUUCCUCCCACGCCGGAGCGCUGCAGCGAGGCACUAUCCGAGAGAUGGGGACUAGCGAAGGCUCGUGAAUGAAAAGAAACGCAGCAUAAGUGAAUCAAUGCGGGGCUAACCGACUCGAGCCUGUGAAUAAAUUAUUAACUUGCGCUCGCAGAAGAAUCCCCUCGAUCGAGCGAGCAUAGGAUGACAAGCUCCUCCACGGAGCGAGCGGCGUGGGGAGCAGGAGGGAUUGGUCCAGUGGACUACAAGUUUAGAAAAGUCCCAAAACAGAAAAAACAGGGCCUGAAUGAAUCAGUAUUACUUGGUAGAGGGAGUACUGCAUUCUGCUACAGAAGACAGCACUUCAAAUUUGAGAGGUCAGCUGCAAAGCUUGGCUUCAAAAGCAACUUACAAUCACAACACCAGAGAACAGAAACAACUUCCUGAGCCAGAUAGCAACUACAGAAUCCUGGAGAUGAUUGUUUUUAAGCAAAACAGAUGUCAGAGCCAAAUGUUUCUUGAUGCAAUCCUGUUCAUCCUCAGUGAGACAGCAUAAAGUCUUGUUUCCCUGAACACAGCAAGAGGAAGCAGUCCCUUUGCUCAAUGCCAGUUCUUCUUUCCUUACAGCUCUGUACCAACCACUCUCCCCUCCCAGCUGCAAGCUUCUAGUUCCUCAUCAGAAAUGGAUCUGAAGUUUCACAAUGCUAAUACCACAACAGGUGUGACGUACAUCUCCAGAAAAAAAUGCUCUGAUGCUUUAUUUUAUCCUCUUUCCACUUAAGAGACCUUGAAUAUGUUUUAAUGUUUCCAGUAUAUAUAUAUUAAAAUGAUCCAAAGGCAGCAUCCAUUCAUCAAAAACAUGAAAACUCAAGACGAGAAUUAAAACAAACAACAAAAAAAGAAGAGUCACUCAUGGCUACAGCUUAUGCCUGUCAUGGAAAGAAACAUAUCAAAAUGUCCCCAUUAAUGAUUGCAUCAUAAGCCCUGCAAUGUUGAAAGCCUGUUACUGAGAUUCUAUUCUCUAAUGGGAAUUCAAGCCACUGGAUGCGAGUAGUUGAAUAAGUAAAGAUGAAAAACAAAUUCAAAAUGAUUUAAUUUCAGAAGUCGAGAAAUACGGAAAUUUGUUCAGAAAUACAAGAGCCCACAGUGCUUUCCUGAUCCUUGAUUUAAAAAAAAAAAAAAAAAAAAAAAUAAAAAAAAAGAAAGAAAAAAGAAAAAAGAAAAAAGAGAAA